ACUCAAAUGAAUUGACGGGGACCCGCACAAGCAGUGGAGUAUGUGGUUUAAUUCGAAGCAACGCGAAGAACCUUACCAGGUCUUGACAUCCCUUUGAAUAUCCUAGAGAUAGGGUAGGCCUUCGGGACAAAGGAGACAGGUGGUGCAUGGUUGUCGUCAGCUCGUGUCGUGAGAUGUUGGGUUAAGUCCCGCAACGAGCGCAACCCUUGAUGUUAGUUGCCAGCACGUAAAGGUGGGCACUCUAAGAUGACUGCCGGUGACAAACCGGAGGAAGGUGGGGAUGACGUCAAAUCAUCAUGCCCCUUAUGACCUGGGCUACACACGUACUACAAUGGCCGGUACAACGGGAAGCGAAGGAGCGAUCUGGAGCGAAUCCUAGAAAAGCCGGUCUCAGUUCGGAUUGCAGGCUGCAACUCGCCUGCAUGAAGUCGGAAUUGCUAGUAAUCGCGGAUCAGCAUGCCGCGGUGAAUACGUUCCCGGGUCUUGUACACACCGCCCGU
rnacentral:rRNA from 1 species